UACUAUAUACUUGUUUCAAGGGUUAAGCCAUGCAUAUAUAAGUUCACAAAGGACUAAGUCCUUAUAAGAAAACUGUAAUCGGCUCAUUAAAUAAGUUAUAAUUCGCUCAUUUGUGCAAAUUUGUGUUACAUGGAUAUCUCAGUUAACUGCAGAACUAAUACAUGAAAAAAAUACGGGGAGGAUUUAUCCUUCUAUAUAAAAGCUUCGAGAUGGAGUAGUUGCUUUUAAGGGUGUCGGGAUUGUGAUCCUUCGGGUGAUCAGUUUACGGUGCUCAGUUGACCUUGAAAUGGUAUUGAGAAUUUAUUCAAAAAAGGGGAUUUAUGUAACAUGAAUCCUGCACAUUUGGCCGAGUUACGCGGUAUCUUCACAUUUAGUUUUUGUUUCUUGAACCUGGUUCUUGAAAGACACUGAUUGUUCCGAGAAAUUGUCGUUUGAUUUCGGAGAGAAAGCUUGAUAAACGGCUAUCACAUCUAAGGAAGGCAGCAGGCGCGAAAAUUACCCAAUUAUAAUGCGUAGAGGUAGUAACAAAAUGUAACGACCUUCCUUGCAACGCGAGGAAGGGUGGAUCUCCUUUGAUCCUUGUAAUGGAUGUAAAUUAAAAUUCUACAUGAAUGCAAUUAGAGGACAAGUCUGGUGCCAGCACCCGCGGUAAUUCCAGCUCUAGUAGUAUAUAUUAAAGUUGUUGUGGUUAAAACGUUCGUAGUUUAGUUAAAAGUAGAUGCCUACAAGUCGUUAUUGUCAGCCAGGUGGGACUGUCAUCCUGCCUGGUGGAAUCACUGAUCCAGAUGAUAGCUUUGGUCGAGAUACAUGGAUUACUUUGCCCCUUCUUAGGCAGAGCCCGGUUGAUCGGUGGCUUGUUGGGUGUUUAUUUGAUAUGUGGCCGUGAGUAAAUCUGAGUGUUCAAAACGAUCUAUGGAUUCCUAGCUUGCUUCUAUACGUUGGCAGGUACUAAAUGGGAAUCUUUGAUUAUUUGUGAUAGCACGGAACCACAACGAAGUUGAUGAGUCGUUCUGCGGCUUCAUUGAUGGGACAAAUGGGGUAUUUUCAAGUGUGCCGUACCGAAGGGCUAGAGGUGAAAUUCAAUGACCCUUUCGUGACGACCAAAGGCGAAAGCAGCACGCGAGGAUUUACCCGUCGACGAGGGACUAAAGUUAGAGGAUCGAAGAUGAUUAGAUACCGUUGUAGUUCUAACCAUAAACAUUAUCGACUGGAAAUUCCAGCGAAACCUUUCCCAAGAUCUUUGGGGCAUCCCCGGGAAACCUAGUUUUUGGAUUCCAGGGGAAGUAUUAUCGCAAGUUUGAAACUUAAAAGAAUUGACGGAAAAGCACCACCAUGGUGUGGAUUCUGCGGCUUAAUUUGACUCAACACGGAAAAACUUACCAAGUUCGGACACAAGCAUGAUUGACAGGCUAAGGACCUUUCUUAAUUUUGUGACAGGUGGUGCAUGGCCAUUCUUAGUUCGUGGAGUGAUUCGUCUUGUUAAUUCAGUUAACGAGCGAGACCUUCACCUAUUAAUCAGUGGUUAUUUAUCUAGUUUGAAAGUGGUCAACAUUUAAUAUGUGGGCAAAUCUAACGUAAAUCUUGAACAUAACAUAUACAACCUAAAUUUUUACAAGAACGACCUUCGGGUCAUUCAAAUAUAUUCCAGGGGGAAGGGCCGACUUUGUACAUAAAAGAAAGGUCUGGAACUCUUUACUUCUUAGAGGGACAACGCUCGUAAAAUUUAGAUCGCCGAAGUGGAAGGCAAUAAUAGGUCUGUAUGCCCUUAGAUAUCUUGGGUAGCACGCGUAAUACAAUGUUGAUCACAGUAAGCAUAACCGUAUUGUUUCAUUUUUUGAAACGGAAAAUACAACAUCCUGCUUCGAUAGAAGUGGGGAAUCUUUGCAAAUAUUAAACAUGACGAGGAUUGCACUUUGUAAAUAGUGCAUGAAUGAGGAAUACCUAGUACACGUGAUUCAUUAAAUUACAUGGAUUGCGUCCCUGCUUUUUGUACACACCGCCCGUCGCUUCAAUCGACACGGUCGGAAUUAUAAAGCUGAUGGAUAUCAAUUAUAUACUCUAUAUUUUGAUAAAAGUUGAAUGAAUUGUUUUGAUUUUAGAAUGAAGAAGUCGUAACAAGGUAAUCG
rnacentral:rRNA from 1 species